rnacentral:rRNA from 1 species
UGAGGAAUAUUGGUCAAUGGUCGAGAGACUGAACCAGCCAAGUCGCGUGAAGGAAGACGGUAUUAUGUAUUGUAAACUUCUUUUGCAGGGGAAUAAAGUGCAUCACGCGUGGUGUUUUGUAUGUACCUUGCGAAUAAGCAUCGGCUAACUCCGUGCCAGCAGCCGCGGUAAUACGGAGGAUGCGAGCGUUAUCCGGAUUUAUUGGGUUUAAAGGGUGCGUAGGUUGGUUUUUAAGUCAGCGGUGAAAGCUUGUCGCUUAACGACAAAAAUGCCGUUGAAACUGGGAAUCUUGAGAGUGCACGAGGCAGGCGGAAUUCGUGGUGUAGCGGUGAAAUGCUUAGAUAUCACGAAGAACUCCGAUAGCGCAGGCAGCUUGCCAGGUCACAUCUGACACUGAAGCACGAAAGUGUGGGUAUCAAACAGGAUUAGAUACCCUGGUAGUCCACACAGUAAACGAUGAUUACUCGCUGUUUGCGAUAUACAGCAAGUGGCUUAGCGAAAGUCGUUAAGUAAUCCACCU